GAUGAACGCUGGCUACAGGCUUAACACAUGCAAGUCGAGGGGAAACGACAGGGAAGCUUGCUUCCCCGGGUGUCGACCGGCGCACGGGUGAGUAACGCGUAUCCAACCUGCCUCUGACUGAGGGAUAACCCGUCGAAAGUCGGCCUAAUACCUCAUGGCAUCGUCUGCGGGCAUCCAACGACGAUUAAAGAUUUCAUCGGUCAGAGAUGGGGAUGCGUCUGAUUAGCUUGUUGGCGGGGUAACGGCCCACCAAGGCGACGAUCAGUAGGGGUUCUGAGAGGAAGGUCCCCCACAUUGGAACUGAGACACGGUCCAAACUCCUACGGGAGGCAGCAGUGAGGAAUAUUGGUCAAUGGGCGAGAGCCUGAACCAGCCAAGUAGCGUGCAGGAUGACGGCCCUAUGGGUUGUAAACUGCUUUUAUGCGGGGAUAAAGUGAGGGACGUGUCCUUCAUUGCAGGUACCGCAUGAAUAAGGACCGGCUAAUUCCGUG
rnacentral:rRNA from 1 species